UCAUUUGCUUUUUAAUUGGAAGCUGGAAUGAAUGGUUUGAUGAAAAAUAUACUUUCUUAUUUUUAUAAAAAAAAAUUAAUUUUUAUGUCAAAAAGCGUAUAUGUUUUAGGAGGACGAGAAGACCCUAUAGAAUUUUAUUAAUGGAAAUAUAUUAAUUAUAUUGGUUUAUUUUUGGUAAUAUAUUUUCAUUAAUUAUGUUGGGGUGACAGAAAAAAUAUCAUAACUUUUUUUAACCAGAAAACAUUAAUAUAUGUAUAUAAGAUCCUUAAUAAGGAUUAUGAGAUUAAAUUACCUUAGGGAUAACAGCGUUAUUUUUUUGGAGAGUACUUAUUGAUAAAAAAGUUUGCGACCUCGAUGUUGGAUUAAAAUAAGUAGCAGGGGUAGAAUAUUGCUUACUAGGUCUGUUCGACCUAUAAAUUUUUACA
rnacentral:rRNA from 1 species